CCCCACUGAGCUGCACCCAUAAAACAUUUUAAAUGAAUGUUUCUGAUGGCAAGUUAAUAUGCAGCACUCUAACAAAAGUUGUUUUGAGCUAGACAGUUUUAUAACAAACUUUACUUCCUUUUCACUAGCCUCAGAUUUUUCGUUUUCUGCACCAGGGGACUGGAGUCAAGGGAUAAAGCCAAGUCAGGACCAAACUAAGAGGCAAGGCUGAAGAGCAAGCUAUAAAUCAGGACCAGAGGAGGACAAAAGGAGACAGGAAUGCACCAAAGCUCAUCAAGACUCUAUUGCUCAGGCAAGGCUCAACUGGAACAGAAAGACAACUUCUACUCCUUCCUGUCCAGGAAGAUCCAAUGGCUAGCUUUGGAAGGAAGAGUCUGACAAAGUUGGGAGUUGCCAACCUGGUGCCCAUAAGCAGCACAGUGACUGCGAAGACCUUUAUUGGUGCCCCACCUCCCCACGGAGCUCUUCCAUCCGGUAAAAGGGGAAUUGGACAUUUCAGGGCGUAUUGGCUUCCCGUGUACACCAACGGCCCUGGGAGGGGGUGGUGUGGGGGUAAUAAUUUGUUAUUAUUUUUAUCAUAACCCUAAUUUAUUAUUUAUAC